rnacentral:tRNA from 1 species
GGGCCUUUAGCUCAGCUGGUUAGAGCGCACCCCUGAUAAGGGUGAGGUCGGUGGUUCGAAUCCCAUACGGGUCA